GCAGAUGUGGCCGAGUGGUUAAGGCGACUGACUAGAAAUCA
rnacentral:tRNA from 1 species